UUAAGCGACUAAGCGUACACGGUGGAUGCCCUGGCAGUCAGAGGCGAUGAAGGACGUGCUAAUCUGCGAAAAGCGUCGGUAAGGUGAUAUGAACCGUUAUAACCGGCGAUGUCCGAAUGGGGAAACCCAGUGCAAUUCGUUGCACUAUCGUUAACUGAAUACAUAGGUUAACGAGGCGAACCGGGGGAACUGAAACAUCUAAGUACCCCGAGGAAAAGAAAUCAACCGAGAUUCCCCCAGUAGCGGCGAGCGAACGGGGAGCAGCCCAGAGUCUGAAUCAGCUUGUGUGUUAGUGGAACGGUCUGGAAAGUCCGACGGUACAGGGUGAUAGUCCCGUACACCAAAAUGCACAGGCUGUGAACUCGAAGAGUAGGGCGGGACACGUGGUAUCCUGUCUGAAUAUGGGGGGACCAUCCUCCAAGGCUAAAUACUCCUGACUGACCGAUAGUGAACCAGUACCGUGAGGGAAAGGCGAAAAGAACCCCGGCGAGGGGAGUGAAAAAGAACCUGAAACCGUGUACGUACAAGCAGUGGGAGCACCUUCGGGUGUGACUGCGUACCUUUUGUAUAAUGGGUCAGCGACUUAUAUUCUGUAGCAAGGUUAACCGUAUAGGGGAGCCGCAGGGAAACCGAGUCUUAACUGGGCGUUAAGUUGCAGGGUAUAGACCCGAAACCCGGUGAUCUAGCCAUGGGCAGGUUGAAGGUUGGGUAACACUAACUGGAGGACCGAACCGACUAAUGUUGAAAAAUUAGCGGAUGACUUGUGGCUGGGGGUGAAAGGCCAAUCAAACCGGGAGAUAGCUGGUUCUCCCCGAAAGCUAUUUAGGUAGCGCCUCGUGAACUCAUCUUCGGGGGUAGAGCACUGUUUCGGCUAGGGGGUCAUCCCGACUUACCAACCCGAUGCAAACUACGAAUACCGAAGAAUGUUAUCACGGGAGACACACGGCGGGUGCUAACGUCCGUCGUGAAGAGGGAAACAACCCAGACCGCCAGCUAAGGUCCCAAAGUCAUGGUUAAGUGGGAAACGAUGUGGGAAGGCACAGACAGCCAGGAUGUUGGCUUAGAAGCAGCCAUCAUUUAAAGAAAGCGUAAUAGCUCACUGGUCGAGUCGGCCUGCGCGGAAGAUGUAACGGGGCUAAACCAUGCACCGAAGCUGCGGCAGCGACACUAUGUGUUGUUGGGUAGGGGAGCGUUCUGUAAGCCUGCGAAGGUGUGCUGUGAGGCAUGCUGGAGGUAUCAGAAGUGCGAAUGCUGACAUAAGUAACGAUAAAGCGGGUGAAAAGCCCGCUCGCCGGAAGACCAAGGGUUCCUGUCCAACGUUAAUCGGGGCAGGGUGAGUCGACCCCUAAGGCGAGGCCGAAAGGCGUAGUCGAUGGGAAACAGGUUAAUAUUCCUGUACUUGGUGUUACUGCGAAGGGGGGACGGAGAAGGCUAUGUUAGCCGGGCGACGGUUGUCCCGGUUUAAGCAUGUAGGCUGGUUGUCCAGGCAAAUCCGGAUAAUCAAGGCUGAGGUGUGAUGACGAGGCACUACGGUGCUGAAGUAACAAAUGCCCUGCUUCCAGGAAAAGCCUCUAAGCAUCAGGUAACAUCAAAUCGUACCCCAAACCGACACAGGUGGUCAGGUAGAGAAUACCAAGGCGCUUGAGAGAACUCGGGUGAAGGAACUAGGCAAAAUGGUGCCGUAACUUCGGGAGAAGGCACGCUGGUGUGUAGGUGAAGCCCCUGCGGGUGGAGCUGAGACCAGUCGAAGAUACCAGCUGGCUGCAACUGUUUAUUAAAAACACAGCACUGUGCAAACACGAAAGUGGACGUAUACGGUGUGACGCCUGCCCGGUGCCGGAAGGUUAAUUGAUGGGGUUAUCCGUAAGGAGAAGCUCUUGAUCGAAGCCCCGGUAAACGGCGGCCGUAACUAUAACGGUCCUAAGGUAGCGAAAUUCCUUGUCGGGU
rnacentral:rRNA from 1 species